CUGGAUAGAGCGUCUGACUACGGAUCAGAAGGUCGAGAGUUCGAAUCUUUCCCGGCGCG
rnacentral:tRNA from 1 species